GAACGCUGGCGGCAGGCCUAACACAUGCAAGUCGAGCGGUAGAGAGAAGCUUGCUUCUCUUGAGAGCGGCGGACGGGUGAGUAAUGCCUAGGAAUCUGCCUGGUAGUGGGGGAUAACGUUCGGAAACGGACGCUAAUACCGCAUACGUCCUACGGGAGAAAGCAGGGGACCUUCGGGCCUUGCGCUAUCAGAUGAGCCUAGGUCGGAUUAGCUAGUUGGUGAGGUAAUGGCUCACCAAGGCGACGAUCCGUAACUGGUCUGAGAGGAUGAUCAGUCACACUGGAACUGAGACACGGUCCAGACUCCUACGGGAGGCAGCAGUGGGGAAUAUUGGACAAUGGGCGAAAGCCUGAUCCAGCCAUGCCGCGUGUGUGAAGAAGGUCUUCGGAUUGUAAAGCACUUUAAGUUGGGAGGAAGGGCAGUUACCUAAUACGUGAUUGUUUUGACGUUACCGACAGAAUAAGCACCGGCUAACUCUGUGCCAGCAGCCGCGGUAAUACAGAGGGUGCAAGCGUUAAUCGGAAUUACUGGGCGUAAAGCGCGCGUAGGUGGUUAGUUAAGUUGGAUGUGAAAUCCCCGGGCUCAACCUGGGAACUGCAUUCAAAACUGACUGACUAGAGUAUGGUAGAGGGUGGUGGAAUUUCCUGUGUAGCGGUGAAAUGCGUAGAUAUAGGAAGGAACCACCAGUGGCGAAGGCGACCACCUGGACUGAU
rnacentral:rRNA from 1 species